CGUUGGAUCUCGGGCUCGGUCGUCGUGGGCCGUCGGAUAUUUACCGGAUCGUUGUGAGCCGUUAGAUAAAAUUCAGUGCGCCCCGGUCGUGCCACCGCGCGUAAUUCCAGCGCCCCCACGAGGGCAUUUUCGUCAUUUCACCUGGUGGGAGAACUGCCCAAUAGCGCUGAGGUGAGUCCGUGGACAGCGAGCACCGGAUCGUUCCCCUCCCCCUCCCGCUCGCUCGCUCUCCUCUCCUCCCCGCCCCCUCCCUUGAAACCCUAGCCGCCGCUACCCAUCGCGCCCUACAGCGCCGCCGCUCUCGCCACGCUGUCGCUGCUCUCCUCUCCCUCUCUCCGACCCGAGCCGCCGCCCUCCUCUGCGUCUCCGACCUCCUCCCCAUGGGAUUGCAACAGAGCCCCCCAGCAAUGACGACGAGCAGCAGCGGAGGGAGGACGAGGAGCACGACGGCGGCGGCGGGGAGCAGCAGCAGCAGGCCAAGGCGGCGCUGCCCUUCUCCGCCAUGUGCGUGCGGAUCUCCCGCAACACCUACCCCAACCUCCGCGCCCUCAUCAACGCCUCCCACGUCGGUCUCACCGACGCCCCACAUGUCAAGAUCUCCGAGGGCGACUUCGGACACAUCCUUGACGACGUGCCCCACCUUGCUGACUACUACGUUCCGGUGAGCAGCCCCCCUCCCCCUAACCUGCUCCUCCUCACUCGACCGCGAGUCAUGGUUCGCUGUGACCUGCGGGUGCCAUCGUUUCAGCUCGUGGUGAUUGGUUUUGUGCGGUGCAGCUUUAGCUAAGCGACUGUCAGUACGAGCGAAAUGAUCCGACGCUGAUUUGGCUGGAAACGUGACCGCGAUUUGUGCGGGGUUUGGUCGAUUUGGGAUUUCUGUUGUUGAGCCACGAAUACAGAGUGCUUAAUGUCAUCUCAAUUUUUCUUACGUUCCAGCUCCACUAUUAGUGUUGUUAAGCUGCUGAGAAUAGAAAGCAAUGUAGCAGGAAUACAGAAGUUGAGGUUUUCAUUGCUUUGGUCAUACAGUUUUUUAAACUAUAUACUAGAAGAACAGGGUACUCAUUCCUGCCUUCUAAGAAACUAUGUAAUUGACUGCUCAUGUUGGUUGUAAUACAUUGCUAGACACAGAGUUGUACAUUUUUCAGUUAGGUUUUUGCAAAUCAAACUAUAUUCAACAAGGCAUCUCUCCUUUUGAAACACGAACACUCAACCAGGGUACGCUACGCCCCUCUCAUGUUCCUUUCAUUUUUUCCUUAGUUGGGUUCAGAGAUCAUUGCACAAUAAAACUGAUCGAUAACAUUUUCAUUGUGGUUCUCUAAUUUUUUGAACUUGUUAGAAGUUUUCUAAAAUCCAAUUGUUUGUUAUUUUUGGUGCUUUUCAGGUGACCCAUUGCAGUUCAGAGAUGGUUUAUAUGAAUUGUUUAUGAUCUAGGCCGCUACCAAACGCCUCUGGAGAGCAGUAUACUAUUUCUGCAUUUACCAACACAUAUGGAGUAUUGGUUCUCCUGAUCCUAACUUCACAUUAGAUGGCCACUCAAAAGGCGUGAACCGUGUUGAUUACUUCACCGGUGGUGAUCGACCAUUUUUUAUUACUGGAUCUGAUGAUCAGACUGCAAAGGUUUGAGAUUACCAAACCAAGAGAUGUGUUCAAACACUUGAAGGACAUGCACACAAUGUGUCUGCUGUCUGUUUCCAUCUAGAACUACCUAUUAUAAUUACUGGCUCAGAGGAUGGCACAGUUCGCUUGUGGCACUCUACAACCUACAGGCUUGAGAACACUCUUCAUUAUGGUCUUGAGCGAGUUUGGGCUUUAGGAUACAUGAAGGGGUCAAGAAGGAUUGUGAUUGGAUAUGAUUUAGGGAAAAUUAUGAUAAAAAUUGGCCGUGAAGUUCCAGUUGCUAGCAUGGACAACAGUGAAAAAAUCCUAUGGGCAAAACAUAACGAAAUCCAAACUGUUAGUAUCAAGACUGUUGGUGCAGGCAAUGAGGUUCUUCUUCUUUGCCAUGUUAAAUGUGCAGGAUUGUCUGUCGUUAGUUUAGCUGCUACGUCGGAUCUGAUGCUGUUUUCGCCGAUAUAUAGAUUUGUUUGUUGCCUCUUGUUUCACGUUCUUCCGGUCGAUCGCUUGCUCGAUCUGUGCCUGGACAUCAUCUCCAUGUCGCGGCUUCGUGAACGGAUCUUCAGCAAUUGGGAAGGAUCGUCCUGUACUAUCUAUCAUGGUUAUUAGCUAGCAAGAGUGAUGCCACAAGUGGAUCUGCCCAGUAAAUUUGUUAAUUACUUCCUUGCAAGAAUGAGAAAGUGGAGCAGCUAUCUGAGGAGGUUGAUUCAUUGAAGGAAACCCUCGACAAGCACUUAUUGCGCCAAUGAGAGCGAAUUUGGGAAGCUAAGGAAAGGGCGGAGCUGUUUGAGAGAGCUAAUGGUGGGCCACCGGAUGUCCUUCAAAUAUUUGACGACGAAGCCUAGGCAAUGCAAUCAGGGAUGUGGUUAGGGUUUGUUAAUUUUAGCUAGGUUCUUUGUUGCUGAUUGAUGGCCAGUGGCGCUCUUCUGCUUGGAACAAACACUAUAUGUAGUUGCUGCUCCUCUAGGUUGGGUCGUUGCUACUGCUUUGGCUGUAGCUCUGUGCAGGUUUCUAGGUAUCUGCUGCAAGGCUUGGAUUGACGUAUGUUGGGAUGAUCUCAUAUGGAUAAAUGGUAGAUCAAGGGCUUUUAAUCACUGAAGUAGUAUCCAUACGUAUGACUGGUGAUGCAAAUAAUGGAUGUGGAAACUAUAUGAAUGUCAAGUGGAGAGUUAAAUGAUUUAUCAAUGUUGAUUUUACUAGAAUUAUUCUUGAAUAUCAGUGAUAGGAUCUUGAGACGGCCCUCAUGGGAGUGGUCGCCGCCCCCGGUCAACUAUGGUCACCUCCGUUAGCACCCACCGGCAGGAUCCCCCUCCCCCUCGCCUCCCCCUUAUCCACCAUUUCAUGUCCACCACUGGGAGGAGCGGCGGUUGCCGCUGGCGCAUAUGCAAAGCCUGGAGACAUCGCCAUCGACGGGAGGAGAAGGACUGUCUUCGUCGCGUUUGUGCACUUCCGUGAAGAGGACAACUCGAGGUGAGGAGAACCGCUUGGCAGGAGGAGCUCGAGCCGAGGCGAGUCGCCUCUGAUUCUGCAACGCGCUCGAUGUCUGCCUCUUCCCCCACAAGCACACACGAGAGGCCAGGCCUUGGACUAGGUAGAGCAGGAGCAGUUCCAUCUCCCUCACCAAUGCAUCCCCGCCCUCAUCUUGAUCAAUAAUGAACUGGAGAAUGUAGUUGAGCACAAAGCAAAAAGGGUGAUGUUUGCCCAUAGAUGCCUGAUGAUGAUCAUUUCCUGGUGAGUUUGUGUUGCUCAUAGAGAACUUGAAAUAGUCAUGGAUGGACCUGUGAAUGAAACAAUAACAGGCAUGCAUUCGUUAUGCUCUUGGUAGAUAUUUUCUAAUUAUGCUUGUGCCUGUCAAUUUUUUAUUAAUGUUUAUUUUGUAUUGCUCUACCUACAUUUUUUUGUUAAAUGCCGCGUCUGUCGAUAUUGUUUCAUUUGCACACAACUAGCUAUCGUCGGGUACAACACUAAUGUCGCUAUUUAGAUCCUAAACUAUGCCCUUUAUUAUUAACAUACCCUUCUGAAUUUUCUUGCAGUUGUAGGUUUGCUAACAGUUCUUGGGUCGUCUUGCAUGAUUUUGCUUUUAUACAUAUAUAUUUAUUUGAACUGUGGCUUUUCUGAUGCACCUGUGCUAUUGUUUCCUCUAUUGAGAUGCUGAAUGUUUUUCCUUUUACUAUACAUCUGUAUCUACUUAAUGGCUGGAUGUUUUCUUACCCAUUUUGUUUUCUUCUUUGAGAAGGCUAUACGUGCUCUUGGAAUUAUGCAAGCUAUGAAAAAGUGUUAUAUUAUUUCAUCUCUCUGCCGCCUCUCGACAUUUCCAUUAUGAGAUAUAUUGAGUAAUACAGAUAUAUUGUCUAUUGCCGGGGUUAGUUAAAACGGGGCCAUGUGGAGUCCGCCAUGGGUUAAUAAUGUUGAGGUCUUUUGCAUAUCUCAUUUGAGAAAAGACCAUUAUUUGAAUGCUGAUUUAAUGUGCCUUUUAUGCUUUGUUCUUCUAGAAGAGUACAACGCUGGGUGGAUAUUCUUCUACCUUAGCAGAUGAGAUCGAUUGUAUUUCAAGAUGGGACACUGACGGGAAAAGAAGCUUUGCCCUCCGAACAUGAAGCCUAGGCUCUAGACUGGGUAUCUCUUAAAGUAAUCAUACUUUUGAUUUGUCAAAGACGGGAAGAAGUAUCCCUAGGAGGAAGACAGGAUCCUGGGUGGAAAAUUGGUGAAAGUGUGUACGACCAUGGGAAAUGGAUGCCUCCUGCUACCAGCUGCGCCCUGAGGUGUGUUUCUUUGCAGGUAUCUGAUUAGGUCAAAAGCGACAGGAACUUUAUGUACGCUGAGUACUCUCUUUCGCCUGGCAUAGUGAAUGAGAACAAAUCAAAAUUAGUGGACCAAGUUAUAUGUGCUAUCCUUUUACUGGUGUACAGAGAACAUAUUCCAGCAUGUAUUUGGGUGUAUGAACUGUUGUAUCGAUGAUGUCGAGUCGCUGUGCGUACAUGUCAUGGCUUCAUAUGCAUAUAUAAAUUGUUGUAUCCACUUUGUACCUUUGUAUCAUGUGUAACAUAUAUUCUGAUUUA